rnacentral:rRNA from 1 species
UACGAAGGGUGCAAGCGUUAAUCGGAAUUACUGGGUGUAAAGCGUGCGUAGGCGGUUAUUUAAGUCUGUUGUGAAAUCCCCGGGCUCAACCUGGGAAUGGCAAUGGAUACUGGAUAGCUAGAGUGUGAUAGAGGAUGGUGGAAUUCCCGGUGUAGCGGUGAAAUGCGUAGAGAUCGGGAGGAACACCCGUGGCGAAGGCGGCUCUCUGGGACGGUACUGACGCUGAGACGCGAAAGCGUGGGGAGCGAACAGG